rnacentral:lncRNA from 1 species
GCCUCGCUGCGGCACCACCAGCAGCCCGGGCUGCAGGGGCCACAGCUGGCAGCUGCUGGGCCACACUCAGACUUUAGGGACCAGUGAGAAGCAAGAAAACUGUUUAAACGAAACAGAUAAAAAAGCCCAAGCAGACCCAUGACUGAAGAGUAAGGAAUCUAUUGCACCAGCAUUGAAGUCUGUCCAGAAAAAAUUUUGCGAUACAGACAGCUCUCUGCGACGCCCUCUCACAUCUCUGUUUGAAGAAGACUAGCAUGACAGGACCCAACACAUUGUAAAGGUGAACACAACAUCAGAGAAGAUGGACAGAGGGGAGAGUGUAGUCCCUAAGGCAACAACAGUGACUAUGGAGUCAGGGAAAAUGACACAUCCGCCAUCUUCUUUCUUUGUGAGCUAGAAUUGAUUCAUUCACUGUGACCUUCUCUGAUUAUGAGAGCGAUUC